rnacentral:rRNA from 1 species
GAUGAACGCUAGCGGGAGGCUUAACACAUGCAAGUCGAGGGGCAGCAUAGGGUAGCAAUACUCUGAUGGCGACCGGCAAACGGGUGAGUAACGCGUAUGCAACCUACCCUGUACAGGGGGAUAACCCGGAGAAAUUCGGACUAAUAUCCCGUAAUAAUAUCCGGAGGCAUCUUUGGAUAUUUAAAGUUCCGACGGUACGGGAUGGGCAUGCGUAACAUUAGCUGGUUGGUAAGGUAACGGCUUACCAAGGCUAUGAUGUUUAGGGGUCCUGAGAGGGUGGUCCCCCACACUGGUACUGAGACACGGACCAGACUCCUACGGGAGGCAGCAGUGAGGAAUAUUGGUCAAUGGGCGCAAGCCUGAACCAGCCAUCCCGCGUGCAGGAAGACGGCCCUAUGGGUUGUAAACUGCUUUUCCAGGGAGAGAAACUUACGCACGUGUUGCGUGACUGACGGUACCCUGGGAAUAAGCAUCGGCUAACUCCGUGCCAGCAGCCGCGGUAAAACGAGAGUA